rnacentral:rRNA from 1 species
GAUGAACGCUGACAGAAUGCUUAACACAUGCAAGUCAACUGGAAUUUGGGGUUUUAACGUAGGAUUGGGUGGCGGACGGGUGAGUAACGCGUAAAGAACUUGCCUCACAGCUAGGGACAACAUUUGGAAACGAAUGCUAAUACCGAAUAUUAUGAUAAUAGGGCAUCCUAUAAUUAUGAAAGCUAUAAGCGCUGUGAGAGAGCUUUGCGUUCCAUUAGCUAGUUGGAGAGGUAACGGCCCACCAAGGCGACGAUGGGUAGCUGGUGUGAGAGGGUGACCAGCAGGGCUGUGAGUGACACACGGUACAGACUCCGACGGGAGGCAGCGGUAGGAAUGAUUAGACGAUCGACAGUAUGCUGAAGCAGCUAUGUGGGGUGGAUGAAGAUUUCCUGAAUGUAAUAAGGUUUUAGUUCCGAAGAAGAAAAUGACGGUACCAACAGAAGAAGCUACGGCUAAAUACGUG